rnacentral:rRNA from 1 species
GCCCAGAGAUCGGGAUAACACCUGGAAACAGAUGCUAAUACCGGAUAACAACAGAUGAUGCCUAUCAACUGUUUAAAGGAUGGUUCUGCUAUCACUCUUGGAUGGACCUGCGGUGCAUUAGCUAGUUGGUAGGGUAACGGCCUACCAAGGCGAUGAUGCAUAGCCGAGUUGAGAGACUGAUCGGCCACAUUGGGACUGAGACACGGCCCAAACUCCUACGGGAGGCAGCAGUC